rnacentral:rRNA from 1 species
UGGGGAAUUUUGGACAAUGGGCGAAAGCCUGAUCCAGCAAUGCCGCGUGUGUGAAGAAGGCCUUCGGGUUGUAAAGCACUUUUGUCCGGAAAGAAAUCCUCUGGGUUAAUACCUCGGGGGGAUGACGGUACCGGAAGAAUAAGCACCGGCUAACUACGUGCCAGCAGCCGCGGUAAUACGUAGGGUGCAAGCGUUAAUCGGAAUUACUGGGCGUAAAGCGUGCGCAGGCGGUUUUGUAAGACGGAUGUGAAAUCCCCGGGCUUAACCUGGGAACUGCAUUCGUGACUGCAAGGCUAGAGUAUGGCAGAGGGGGGUAGAAUUCCACGUGUAGCAGUGAAAUGCGUAGCGAUGUGGAGGAAUACCGAUGGCGAAGGCAGCCCCCUGGGCCAAUACUGACGCUCAUGCACGAAAGCGUGGGGAGCAAACA